CCAAGAUGUAGAACAACCAGAUGCUUCAGAUUUAUACAUCCGGUGGGCCAUCUGGCUCAAAUCUCUGUGACAGCAGGGACCAGCAGUAGAGAGGAGAAUGCCCUUGUUUCACGCCUUCAAGAUUUAAAGUGUUAUCUGUGCAAGAUUUCAGUGCUCCUCUUCCCAUCUAGUCCUGAUGGACUUUCUUGAGAGUGGACUGAAGAGAAUGAACCAACAGGUUGGUGGAUCAUGCUAUCAGUCUUGGGCAUAAACUACAUCUUUCAAUGCCUCGACAUCCAAAAGAUGUAUGCAAGGGUACUGUUUAUCGACUGCGUUCAACAUCAUCCUAGAACUAAUAUAUUGUUCCUUACAAACUGUUAACUGUUCAUAAGAAAGCUGCACUGUACUGCUCCAAAAACAGUGAAUGUCCUUACAUUCAGUGGAUGCACAUACUGGAACUGUCAAUCUGUAAAUGUUUACAUUACUGUAAAUUCCUAUGUGGGACAUAUUCUUACCACUCAUAUUUCAUCAUCUCCACGACAAUCCAGUGUAUAUAAGUGUAUGUCAACUUUGUAGUUUUUGUGUAUUAUUUCCCCAAAAAGUAUUCAGAUUUCAGACCCUUUCACUUUUUACACAUUUUGUUAUAUUACCGCCUUAUUCUAAAAUGGAUAAUAAAUGUUUUAC
ensembl:lncRNA